AAUUACUGGGCGUAAAGCGCAUGCAGGUGGUUUGUUUAAGUCAGAUGUGAAAGACCCGGGGCUCAACCUCGGAAUAGCAUUUGUAAACUGGCAGACUAGAGUACUGUAGGAGGGGGGUAGGAAUUUCAGGUGUAGCGGUGAAAUGCGUAGAGAUCUGAAGGAAUACCGGUGGCGAAGGCGGCCCCCUGGACAGAUACUGACACUCAGAUGCGAAAGCGGUGGGGGAGCAAACAGGAUUAGACUACCCUGGUAG
rnacentral:rRNA from 1 species